rnacentral:tRNA from 1 species
GCGAUUGUCGUCCAGGGGUAAGACGCCGGGUUUCCACCCCGGAGAGGCGGGUUCGAUUCCCGCCGAUCGCUCGA